rnacentral:tRNA from 1 species
UCGGACUAUAGCUUAUUUAAGCAUUUUAUUUACAUUAAAAAGUUAACUGUGAGAUUCAGUUUGGUUUGAA